rnacentral:rRNA from 1 species
CACUCCUACGGGAGGCAGCAGUGGGGAAUAUUGGACAAUGGGCGCAAGCCUGAUCCAGCCAUGCCGCGUGAGUGAUGAAGGCCCUAGGGUUGUAAAGCUCUUUCACCGGUGAAGAUAAUGACGGUAACCGGAGAAGAAGCCCCGGCUAACUUCGUGCCAGCAGCCGCGGUAAUACGAAGGGGGCUAGCGUUGUUCGGAUUUACUGGGCGUAAAGCGCACGUAGGCGGACUAUUAAGUCAGGGGUGAAAUCCCGGGGCUCAACCCCGGAACUGCCUUUGAUACUGGUAGUCUUGAGUUCGAGAGAGGUGAGUGGAAUUCCGAGUGUAGAGGUGAAAUUCGUAGAUAUUCGGAGGAACACCAGUGGCGAAGGCGACUCACUGGCUCGAUACUGACGCUGAGGUGCGAAAGCGUGGGGAGCAAACAGGAUUAGAAACCCGAGUAGUCCC